rnacentral:rRNA from 1 species
ACGAACGCUGGCGGCGUGCUUAACACAUGCAAGUCGAACGGAAAGGCCCUGCUUUUGUGGGGUGCUCGAGUGGCGAACGGGUGAGUAACACGUGAGUAACCUGCCCUUGACUUUGGGAUAACUUCAGGAAACUGGGGCUAAUACCGGAUAGGAGCUCCUGCUGCAUGGUGGGGGUUGGAAAGUUUCGGCGGUUGGGGAUGGACUCGCGGCUUAUCAGCUUGUUGGUGGGGUAGUGGCUUACCAAGGCUUUGACGGGUAGCCGGCCUGAGAGGGUGACCGGCCACAUUGGGACUGAGAUACGGCCCAGACUCCUACGGGAGGCAGCAGUGGGGAAUAUUGCACAAUGGUCGGAAGCCUGAUGCAGCAACGCCGCGUGCGGGAUGACGGCCUUCGGGUUGUAAACCGCUUUCGCCUGUGACGAAGCGUGAGUGACGGUAAUGGGUAAAGAAGCACCGGCUAACUACGUG